AUUCAUUAUUAUUUGUGGGAUUACCAAUUUUUGUGGUUUUUGUGGUUAUAAGUCAUACCCCAAUUCAAAUAAUCAACAAAUAAUGAAUUUUCUAUAGGCUUGAAUGCAGACUUCACUUGAAUGCAGACUUCAGCAAAGCAAAGCAAAACAUCAAGUAACCAACAAAAUAUUGUUUUUCCUCAAUCCACACAUUAAACUGUGACCUUAUAUCAAACUGAGACAAAGAGGAGCAGUCAAUAAGAUGGUAAUAACAUAAAUUUGCUGAGUCAUAAUUAAACAAACUGAUACCAAUUCAGUUUUUGAUUCCUGUCAGUACUUCAUGGAAAUCAAAAUGUUUUGUCUCAGGAAAUUUUAACAUGUGUCAUUUAGGCGUUACUGGUGAGUCUAAUGAAGACAAAACAGAUGCAUAAUUAUAAACAAGGUAUCUUGGAUGAGUUUUUUCAGGAUGAUGGAAGAUAUAUGUCACAGUUUUCAAUUAAUGGAACCUACAAAUCUCAUGCACCUGAAGUAACUGCCAGAGUAAAAAUUAACUAGUGUGAAGAGUUCAUGUAUUCAACCAAAUUUUUGCAAUAUUU
rnacentral:lncRNA from 1 species